UUAGAGUCCUGAACCUGACAGCUUGAAACUCACACCAGGCUCCAAGCUCCUUCAAGCUGUGGGCCCCGGCUGGCUGCCCUUCUCCAAAGCAACUUUGUUGGCUGUGACCCACCUUUAGGGCCUCAAGGUCCCUGUGUAAGGUGGCAGCCUCUCAGGGUGGCCCACAGCCUGGCUGUUUCUGUGUUUUAGUUUGAGGUAUUUCAAUGUCCACUUCCCACCGCAAUUAUUUCUGCUUUCAUAACCAGAGUUGCAACAGAGGAAAGAUAAAAAUAAUUGUAGCUUAAGCAAGAGAGCAGCCAGGUAGCAUCAGCUUUCAGACCCCGGAUCAGUAUGGGCAUCCACAGGACGAGAGAAGAAAAAGAACGCAAACAAUGAAAAUCCAGCUGCACUUCUUGGCAGAUAAUCUGAAAGGCUGCGAGAAUGGACAGAUGAGCUGUCCCAAUGAACGAACGGGUGUAUGUGAAGGGAGAGACAGACAUGCCAGAGGGAGAACCCCAUGUGGAUAUCAGAGUGAUGCAGCUGCAGGCCAAGGAACCAGCGGAAGCGGGAGAAAAUUCUGGAACAGAUCCUUCCCCAGCUCCUUCAGAGGGAGAGCGGCCUGACUGACCCCUUGAUCUCAGACUCGGCCUCUGGAACUGUGAAGGAGCCCAUCUCUGUUGUUCUAAGCCACCCAGGCUGUGGUCUCCUGUUCGGUCAGGGCUAGAACGCUGAGAGUCACACAAAGAACCUCGUCUUUCUUCCUCCUCAGAGACUGGUGGAAGAGACUGGGUGAUGUCUUUCUAGCUCCAUGUCCAUCCCCUCGAGUUCUUCUCCUAGUUGCAUGACGAAUCGUGUUUUCAUUGACUUGGAAUUUGUCACUGGAGCUUUUCCCACACAGGGAAAGAACCACGGCCCUGAAACCCACUGCGGGCAGGAUGUCGCCCGAGACAGCUGGAAGUCAUUCUAUGGUAAACCGAGGCUCUGCCGACUCCCAGGCAGGCCAUCCUCCAUGUGGUGGAACAAGAGUCUCCUUCCUUGUCUCUCCUGCCUCUGCUGGCUUCGGGCUUUCCUUGGCUUGUGGCCACAUCAAUCCAGUCUCUGCCUCCAUCUUCACAUGGCCUUCCCUGUCUGUUUCCUCUCUUUGUGAGGGCACCUGUCACUGGAUUUGGCACCCACCCUAAAUCCAAGAUGAUUUUAUCUUGAGCUCCUUUACCAAUUACACCUGCAAAGACCCUAUUUCUGCGUAAGGUCACAAUCUGAGGUUCUGGUGGAUGUGGAUUUGAAGUGGGAAGAGACACUUCACUGCACAGACCCAGAGCCAUAGGGAGCUGCGGAAGGAAAGAGAUCCCUCUAGGCCAGCCAGCCAGCACUUCUGCCUCCACUGCCCUCCCCUCCAGCUCCCUAGUCCCUGCCCCCACACUGUGCUGGGGAGUCCUGCAUUCUGCACCAAGACCGAUAGUAACCACUUCCUGUCUCCACCCUCCCUGGCCAGCCCCAGGCCAUGGCCUCAUUGCUUGGGCAAUGGCUGAGGAUAAACUGACAGCCCUGAGAAAUCCUUGACAAAGACACUUAGCCAGACGCUGACCCUGAGCUCAGCGCUGGUGACACAGCAGAGGCACAUUUUCGUUAUCACAGACAUGACAAUUACACUUCGGAAACAAGCCUGGGCUGAUAAGAUUCUCUCCCCAUGUGGGCUCUGAGGCUGUGGGGGGGUAAUGCUGGACCCCACCUGUGGAAGGACACAGGUUCGGCCUGGACGUGGAUAUGAUGGCUCCUUGUGACCUUGCGUACAGGACGUGUCCCUAAGCAGGGCAAGGCAGAAGUCCAGGGGGACCUGGGUCCCUGAUGAUUUCACAACACAAUCUUCCACAGUGCCAUCUCCAGGCAUGAGAAGAGCUCAGCCCUGUUUAAGCUACUGUUGUUGGGGUGUUUCUGGUAUUGCCACCCGACCUCAGCCCAGAGAUGGAGAGACCGUGUGCCCUGGCCGCGACACACCUCCAAACCACGUUUAACUUGUUACCUUAUCCCAGUGCCACUGUGGACUUAAUUUUUUUUUUCCCUUCAAGCAGCUUACUUUUUAAGUUUAACUUCAUUUUAAUUGUAGACUUGAUUAACUCAAGUGUCUGAUGGGUUAGUUACACAUUUUCUCUAAUCCACAUUGUGUUAAAUGUAGGGUCCUUAAGAUAAAAAGAUGGGCAUGUCCACGGACCUCUUGAAGCCAUCUCACACCCCCCGUAUAAGCGUCAGGAAGCUUACCAGACAUAAGGACCUGAGACCUGGGCUGGUUUCAGCCGGGUAUCUAGGACCAGCAGAGAAAGCAAAGUCCUCCCAUCUCCACACAGACCUGACUCGGUGCUUCCACCCACCCAGAAAGAUGGAGAUCGGUGGUACCCACAGCAGGUCUGCAGCAAAGCAGGGAGCAGAGGCCCUGAAAAUAGAUGGCCUCUCCUCCUCCCUUCCACCACAUUCCUCAAGAAGACCCAGAAGGGACACCCAGCUUCAAGAAAGGCCCUGGCCAGUCUUCCCUGGCAGCAGGUAUUACAAUGAGGAGGUGGCCAGGUUCUGGUAUCCAACUGUGCUCAUGGGGUACCUGCCAGGUGCCAGACUUGCACACCCCAAAGAGCCACUUCCAACGCAAGCCAGGAAACCUCUCCACACUCUCUGCCUCCUGAGGUGCGGUAGGCCGAUUCUCGACAUCCACUGAGUUCGUCUCUGUUACCAGCCCAGGCAGUGGUCACAACAAAAAAGAGGUGCCUCCUGCCACAAUGGAGGCGAUUCUGACCCCCGCAGCCUUCAAAUAAGGGAGCCUCUAAGAGCGAAGGGUGAGAGCCCAGUUUAAAAACUACAAUAGCCAAAAAACACCACCAGACAUGGUGAUGACCCAUCUCCCCACAGGAUGGCGCUCAGAGUUCUUCUAAGUGUUUUUCUAACAAAAAAAUUACUGAA